GACCAAACAAACGGAACCACCGUUGCUUUUGUGUUUCGUCUGUUUUUAUCGCUACUAAAGUGAAAUUAAUCAACUUUCUGCCGUAAAACAGCUUUAUUGAUGAGUGUUGAAGCGGCACGCGCGUGUUUGACGUCACUAGCGACUUAAAGGGCGGAAUUUUGACGGAAAGUGGUCACAGUCUGUCGGCCAUUUUAACUUCUGCUGGACUCCAGGAUUUUACUUUGUUGACCGGAAGGAGCCGCAUGUCACCUGUCCACACCUGGAUACAGCCACAAGACGGACAGCCAAGGUAUCCUGCUGUGUCUGCUGCUGAUGUUCCAGGAUGUUGCAACCAACGCCGGGACGUCAACAAAAGCACAUGGGUCUUUGACGAGUCCUCUGACAACUCUGGAUCACAACGUUCGAUGUCGUCCACUGAGGCUGUACAUCUACAGGAGUCUUAACAUGCAAGAAAAGUCAGCAUUAAGGCUGGAAAGUGGAGAACUGCAUCAUGUUGAUGAAAAAAAAGACAAAGAUCAACAGGAUGUCGACAAACCUGAAGACUGUUCACUUGUUCCCACAGAGCGUUUCUACAUCAGUCCACCUGCAGUGAUCUACACAUUGAAACACAAAAUAAACUCAUCAGAAUUUUAAGUUGUUUUGAUUUAAAGAUUAACGUUGUUGUACACAUUCAAACCAACCUCAGUGUAUGAAAUAAAAAAGCUUCACCUCUCUGAAGCCAGUGAUGUGAUUGUAAAUGCUGCCAUCUUGUGAUCUCAUUGGAUAUUACAUAAACACCUGUACCCUGAAUACUUCUGAUUAAAGGGACUCAU